UUGUCUACUGCAACUUUGACCUUGUUACUACGGCAAAAAAACCUCCGUCGCCGCUCUGAAUAUCGGCAGCCAUGCCCUCCCCUCAGUGAACAAAAAAAAUCUACAACAGAACUGAAUACCAAUUGUGACGAACUGGCUUCGAUUUGGUGGCCUUUGGGGGAAAUCUGGGUAACAGAGUUCGUUUACAGGAGCAGAUGACUAGAACUAAUUCUAGAGUAUUUCUGUUACAAUGUUUUCUACCUGAACCAAAUGAGCAAAUAGCUUAUAUAGCCUGACCCGCCUGCAACAGCUGUCACCAAUCGAUCACCGCGAACCGCCUCAACAGACAAUCCAUGUCUCAAAUCUGAGAGAAGGCAGAGGAUGAGCACUACCUGACAUGGAUCCGCCACG
rnacentral:lncRNA from 1 species